CCUACGGGAGGCAGCAGUGGGGAAUCUUGCGCAAUGGGCGGAAGCCUGACGCAGCGACGCCGCGUGGGGGAUGACGGCCUUCGGGUUGUAAACCUCUUUCGCCAUCGACGAAGCCCCUCGGGGUGACGGUAGGUGGAGAAGAAGCACCGGCCAACUACGUGCCAGCAGCCGCGGUAACACGUAGGGUGCGAGCGUUGUCCGGAAUUAUUGGGCGUAAAGAGCUCGUAGGCGGUGUGUCGCGUCGGCCGUGAAAACUUGGGGCUUAACUCUGAGCGUGCGGUCGAUACGGGCAUCACUUGAGUUCGGCAGGGGAGACUGGAAUUCCUGGUGUAGCGGUGAAAUGCGCAGAUAUCAGGAGGAACACCGGUGGCGAAGGCGGGUCUCUGGGCCGAUACUGACGCUGAGGAGCGAAAGCGUGGGGAGCGAACAGGAUUAGAUACCCUGGUAGUCCACGCCGUAAACGUUGGGCGCUAGGUGUGGGGACCAUUCCACGGUUUCUGUGCCGCAGCUAACGCAUUAAGCGCCCCGCCUGGGGAGUACGGCCGCAAGGCUAAAACUCAAAGGAAUUGACGGGGGCCCGCACAAGCGGCGGAGCAUGUGGAUUAAUUCGAUGCAACGCGAAGAACCUUA
rnacentral:rRNA from 1 species